GAUGAACGCUGGCGGCGUGCCUAAUACAUGCAAGUCGAGCGAACAGACGAGGAGCUUGCUCCUCUGACGUUAGCGGCGGACGGGUGAGUAACACGUGGAUAACCUACCUAUAAGACUGGGAUAACUUCGGGAAACCGGAGCUAAUACCGGAUAAUAUAUUGAACCGCAUGGUUCAAUAGUGAAAGACGGUUUUGCUGUCACUAUAGAUGGAUCCGCGCCGCAUUAGCUAGUUGGUAAGGUAACGGCUUACCAAGGCAACGAUGCGUAGCCGACCUGAAAGGGUGAUCGGCCACACUGGAACUGAGACACGGUCCAGACUCCUACGGGAGGCAGCAGUAGGGAAUCUUCCGCAAUGGGCGAAAGCCUGACGGAGCAACGCCGCGUGAGUGAUGAAGGUCUUCGGAUCGUAAAACUCUGUUAUUAGGGAAGAACAAAUGUGUAAGUAACUAUGCACGUCUUGACGGUACCUAAUCAGAAAGCCACGGCUAACUACGUG
rnacentral:rRNA from 1 species